CAAGGAGUAGUUUAUCACUAGAAUUUCAGCUUUGGGUGUUGAAGGUGGGGCUUGAGCCCUCUCCUUGA
rnacentral:tRNA from 1 species